CUUCGACGAUGAUCUGCGGACAGAUCAAGUGCACGUGACAGUCGACGGUGCCUGCGGUGACGAUUCGACGGUUGCCGCUGAUGAUUUCGGUGGACGGCCCGACGACGAGAUCCCGAUGCACACCUGUCAUGAUGUCGGGAUUGCCGGCCUUUCCGAUCCCGACGAUGCGGCCAUCGCGAAUCCCGAUGUCGGCCUUGAUGAUUCCCCAGUAGUCGAUGAUCACCGCACCGGUGAUCACGGUGUCGGGGGCACCGUCGGCCCGGCUCGCACGGCCCUGGCCCAUGGACUCGCGCAG
rfam:Mycobacterium tuberculosis H37Rv complete genome.